rnacentral:rRNA from 1 species
CCUUUGACGUUAGCGGCGGACGGGUGAGUAACACGUGGGUAACCUACCUAUAAGACUGGGAUAACUUCGGGAAACCGGAGCUAAUACCUUAUAAUAUUUCUAACCGCAUGGUUCGAUAGUGAAAGAUGGUUUUGCUAUCACUUAUAGAUGGACCCGCGCCGUAUUAGCUAGUUGGUAAGGUAACGGCUUACCAAGGCUACGAUACGUAGCCGACCUGAGAGGGUGAUCGGCCACACUGGAACUGAGACACGGUCCAGACUCCUACGGGAGGCAGCAGCC